rnacentral:lncRNA from 1 species
UGGACAAAGCCACUGGGAAUGGGGGUGGUGAUUGAAAUUAUUCCAGAGAUGAAAUCCGUGUGACUUGGUGAUUGACUGGGUGCAGGGCCUAUGGUUCAUCCUGCAAUAUCAGAGAAUAUGCAACUGUUGGAAGCUCAUUUGUGCAGAAGCACUAGUUAGACCAAGUCCCAGGAUGGUGGGGACUUGAACUGCCUCAUGCACAUUGAACCCAAGAGCCUGGCCCAUGAAAGUAAAUCAGUGGAUACUUGAAUAAAGAGAAGAAUAUGCGCUGAA